rnacentral:rRNA from 1 species
GACGAACGCUGGCGGCGUGCUUAACACAUGCAAGUCGAACGGAAAGGCCCUGCUUUUGUGGGGUGCUCGAGUGGCGAACGGGUGAGUAACACGUGAGUAACCUGCCCUUGACUUUGGGAUAACUUCAGGAAACUGGGGCUAAUACCGGAUAGGAGCUCCUGCUGCGUGGUGGGGGUUGGAAAGUUUCGGCGGUUGGGGUUGGACUGGCGGCUUAUCAGCUUGUUGGUGGGGUAGUGGCUUACCAAGGCUUUGACGGGUAGCCGGCCUGGGAGGGUGACCGGCCACCUUGGGCCUGAGGUACGGCCCAGUGUCCAACGGUAGGCAGCAGUGGGGAAUAUUGCACAGUGGGCGGAAGCCUGAUGCAGCAGCGCCGCGUGCGGGAUGACGGCCUUCGGGUUGUAAACCGCUUUCGCCUGUGACGAAGCGUGAGUGACGGUAAUGGGUAAAGAAGCACCGGCUAACUACGUG